GAUGAACGCUGGCGGUGUGCCUAAUACAUGCAAGUCGAGCGAACAGACGAGGAGCUUACUCCUCUGACGUUAGCGGCGGACGGGUGAGUAACACGUGGAUAACCUACCUAUAAGACCGGGAUAACUUCGGGAAACCGGAGCUAAUACCGGAUAACAUGUUGAACCGCAUGGUUCAACAGUGAAAGACGGUCUUGCUGUCACUUAUAGAUGGAUCCGCGUCGCAUUAGCUAGUUGGUAAGGUAACGGCUUACCAAGGCAACGAUGCGUAGCCGACCUGAGAGGGUGAUCGGCCACACUGGAACUGAGACACGGUCCAGACUCCUACGGGAGGCAGCAGUAGGGAAUCUUCCGCAAUGGGCGAAAGCCUGACGGAGCAACGCCGCGUGAGUGAAGAAGGUCUUCGGAUCGUAAAACUCUGUUAUUAGGGAAGAACAAAUGUGUAAGUAACUAUGCACGUCUUGACGGUACCUAAUCAGAAAGCCACGGCUAACUACGUG
rnacentral:rRNA from 1 species